rnacentral:rRNA from 1 species
GACGAACGCUGGCGGCGUGCUUAACACAUGCAAGUCGAACGGAAAGGCCCUGCUUUUGUGGGGUGCUCGAGUGGCGAACGGGUGAGUAACACGUGAGUAACCUGCCCUUGACUUUGGGAUAACUUCAGGAAACUGGGGCUAAUACCGGAUAGGAGCUCCUGCUGCAUGGUGGGGGUUGGAAAGUUUCGGCGGUUGGGGUUGGACUCGCGGCUUAUCAGCUUGUUGGUUGGGUAGUGGCUUACCAAGGCUUUGACGGGUAGCCGGCCUGAGAGGGUGACCGGCCACAUUGCGCCGGAGAUACGGCCCAGACUCCUAUGGGAGGCAGCAGUGGGGAAUAUUGCACAAUGGGCGGAAGCCUGAUGCAGCACCGCCGCGUGCGGGAUGACGGCCUGCGGGUUGUAAACCGCUUUCGCCUGUGACGAAGCGUGAGUGACGGUAAUGGGUAAAGAAGCACCGGCUAACUACGUG